rnacentral:lncRNA from 1 species
GCAAAGUGUAGAAGGAAAGGUACACAAAUAUAAGUUUCAAAUUUACCAUUUAACAAGGACUGUAUUCUGUACACUUCACAAUAAGACUAACAUCAGCUAGUGAAAAAAAAAAAAAAUGAUUCUUAUUUUAAGUAAUAUUAAUUAAUUACUUUGUUAGGUUAGUCAUUUUUUUUUUAUUUUUAUAAAUUAAGAAAAAGAAAAAUGACUAGAAAUUUAGAAAUAAAUAAUAAUAUAAGAUUACAAUAAAUAAAAACAAAAUUUUUAUCUAUAGAAUGAGGAUACACCCACCAACAAUCAACAAGAAGUUUCUCAAGGGCAAUGUUUCUGGUGUCUUAUUAAUAGCUACCAAUCCACUUCUGCACCCCUAGCACUUAGUAACUUGGACUGCACAACAGCCUGCUUUUAAGAUUAUG